rnacentral:rRNA from 1 species
UCAUUACUGAGUUCUAAACUCCAAACCUUUGUGAACCUACCACAGUUGCUUCGGCGGCCUCGCCCCGGGCGCCCCGGAACCCCCAGCGGGUACCGUGGCGGUCCGGACCCAGGCGACCGCCGGGGGGACCCAAACUCUUGUUUUCCAGUAUCUAUCUGAGUGGCAUAAGCAAAUAAUCAAAACUUUCAGCAACGGAUCUCUUGGUUCUGGCAUCGAUGAAGAACGCAGCGAAAUGCGAUAAGUAAUGUGAAUUGCAGAAUUCAGUGAAUCAUCGAAUCUUUGAACGCACAUUGCGCCCGCCAGUACUCUGGCGGGCAUGCCUGUCCGAGCGUCAUUUCAACCCUCAGCGACCGCCUUGCGGCGGGAGCUGGCGUUGGGGAUCGGCCGUCCCUCAGCGGCGGCCGGCCCCGAAACGAAGUGGCGGUCACGUCGCGACCUCCUCUGCGCAGUAGCGAUACCUCGCAGCCUGGAUAGCGGCGCGGCCAUGCCGUAAAACCCCAACUCUUUCAAGGUUGACCUCG